rnacentral:rRNA from 1 species
AUUGAACGCUGGCGGCAGGCCUAACACAUGCAAGUCGAGCGGAUGAAGGGAGCUUGCUCCUGGAUUCAGCGGCGGACGGGUGAGUAAUGCCUAGGAAUCUGCCUGGUAGUGGGGGAUAACGUCCGGAAACGGGCGCUAAUACCGCAUACGUCCUGAGGGAGAAAGUGGGGGAUCUUCGGACCUCACGCUAUCAGAUGAGCCUAGGUCGGAUUGGCUAGUUGGUGGGGUAAAGGCCUACCAAGGCGACGAUCCGUAACUGGUCUGAGAGGAUGAUCAGUCACACUGGAACUGAGACACGGUCCAGACUCCUACGGGAGGCAGCAGUGGGGUAUAUUGGACAAUGGGCGAAAGCCUGAUCCAGCCAUGCCGCGUGUGUGAAGAAGGUCUUCGGAUUGUAAAGCACUUUAAGUUGGGAGGAAGGGCAGUAAGUUAAUACCUUGCUGUUUUGACGUUACCAACAGAAUAAGCACCGGCUAACUUCGUG